rnacentral:ncRNA from 2 species
GUGAAAUGUUUAGGACCACUA